GGAGAGAUGGCUCAGUGGUUAAGAGCACUGGCUGCUCUUCCAGAGAACUUGGGUUCAAUUCCCAGCACCCACCU
rfam:Neotoma lepida isolate 417 scaffold_121, whole genome shotgun sequence.